GUAGGUGGCAAGCGUUGUCCGGAAUUAUUGGGCGUAAAGCGCGCGCAGGCGGUUCUUUAAGUCUGAUGUGAAAGCCCACGGGCUCAACCGUGGAGGGUCAUUGAAAACUGGAGAACUUGAGUACAGAAGAGGAAAGCGGAAUUCCACGUGUAGCGGUGAAAUGCGUAGAGAUGUGGAGGAACACCAGUGGCGAAGGCGGCUUUCUGGUCUGUAACUGACGCUGUGGCGCGAAAGCGUGGGGAGCAAACAGGAUUAGAUACCCUGGUAGUCCACGCCGUAAACGAUGAGUGCUAAGUGUUAGGGGGUUUCCGCCCCUUAGUGCUGCAGCUAACGCAUUAAGCACUCCGCCUGGGGAGUACGGCCGCAAGGCUG
rnacentral:rRNA from 1 species